rnacentral:rRNA from 1 species
CGUGUGCUCUUCCGAUCUUUGGCAUCAAGAGCCGAUGAAGGACGUAGGAGCCUGCGAUAAGCCCUGGGGAGUUGGCAACCAAGCUGUGAUCCGGGGGUGUCCGAAUGGGGAAACCCAGCUGGAGUCAUGUCCAGUUACCCGCGCCUGAAUAUAUAGGGUGUGUGGAGGGAACGUGGGGAAGUGAAACAUCUCAGUACCCACAGGAAGAGAAAACAAUAGUGAUUCCGAGAGUAGUGGCGAGCGAAAUCGGAUGAGGCCAAACCACGUACAUGUGAUACCCGGCAGGGGUUGUGUAUGUGGGGUUGUGGGAUCGCAUGGGUGGGUCUGCCGGCCUGCCACACAGUAAGAAACUCGUGAUGAAGUUGAAGUCCGCUGGAAAGUGGCGCCGUAGAGGGUGAUAGCCCCGUAAGUGUAAGUCGCGAGCUGUGAUGCGUCAUCCCAAGUAACACGGAACCCCUGAAAUUCCGUGUGAAUCUGGCGGGACCACCCGUUAAGCCUAAAUACUUCUUGAUGACCGAUAGCGGACUAGUACCGUGAGGGAAAGGUGAAAAGUACCCCUGGCGGGGAGUGAAAUAGUACCUGAAACCGUGUGCCUACAAUCCGUCGGAGCCUUGCUCACACUUGUGUGACGGGGUGACGGCGUGCCUUUUGAAGAAUGAGCCUGCGAGUUUGCGUUGUGUUGCGAGGUUAACCCGUGUGGGGAAGCCGUAGCGAAAGCGAGUCCUAAUAGGGCGUUUGAGUAGCGCGAUCAAGACCCGAAGCGAAGUGAUCUAUCCAUGGGCAGGUUGAAGCGCGGGUAAGACCGCGUGGAGGACCGAACCCACUUAGGUUGAAAACUGAGGGGAUGACCUGUGGAUAGGGGUGAAAGGCCAAUCAAACUUCGUGAUAGCUGGUUCUCCCCGAAAUGCAUUUAGGUGCAGCGUUGCGUGUUUCUUGCCGGAGGUAGAGCACUGGAUAGCCGAUGGGCCCGACCAGGUUACUGACGUUAACCAAACUCCGAAUGCCGGUAAGUGAGAGCGCAGCAGUGAGACUGCGGGGGAUAAGCUCCGUAGUCGAGAGGGAAACAGCCCAGACCAUCAGCUAAGGCCCCUAAGCGGUGACUAAGUGGAAAAGGAUGUGGAGUCGCACUGACAACCAGGAGGUUGGCUUGGAAGCAGCCACCCUUGAAAGAGUGCGUAAUAGCUCACUGGUCAAGUGAUUCCGCGCCGACAAUGUAACGGGGCUCAAGCACACCACCGAAGUCGUAGCAUUCAAACUAUAGGUAGGCCUUCGUGGUCCAGCCGUGUGAAUGGGUAGGAGAGCGUCGUGUGGCGAGCGAAGCGGCGGAGUGAUCCAGCCGUGGACGCCACACGAGUGAGAAUGCAGGCAUGAGUAGCGAAAGACGGGUGAGAAACCCGUCCUCCGGAAGACCAAGGGUUCCAGGGCCAGGCUAAUCCGCCCUGGGUAAGUCGGGACCUAAGACGAGGCCGACAGGCGUAGUCGAUGGACAACGGGUUGAUAUUCCCGUACCCGCGAAGAACCGCAAGAGCUAAACCAGUAAUGCUAAGAGUCCGAAUUCUCUUUCUGAUCCCUUCGGGGUGAGGAUUGAGAGCUAGCACUCGACCCUAUGCUGGCGCGGCUAGCGUAUUAACAGGUGUGACGCAGGAAGGUAGCUGAGCCGGGCGAUGGUUGUCCCGGUGUAAGGAUGUAGGGCGAGGAAUAGGCAAAUCCGUUCCUCACGAAGCCUGAGAUCCGACGCGUACCCCUCACGGGGGAAAUCAGUGAUCCUAUGCUGCCAAGAAAAGCAUCGACGCGAGGUUCUAGUGGCCCGUACCCCAAACCGACUCAGGUGGUCAGGUAGAGAAUACUAAGGAGAUCGAGAGAAUCGUGGUUAAGGAACUCGGCAAAAUGCCCCCGUAACUUCGGGAGAAGGGGGGCCGGAUUGGUGAAGGGAUUUACUCCUGGAGCUAUGAAGGCCGCAGAGACCAGUGGGAAGCGACUGUUUACUAAAAACACAGGUCCGUGCUAAGUCGCAAGACGAUGUAUACGGACUGACGCCUGCCCGGUGCUGGAAGGUUAAGAGGAGCGGUUAGCACUUGUGCAAAGCUGCGAAUUUAAGCCCCAGUAAACGGCGGUGGUAACUAUAACCAUCCUAAGGUAGCGAAAUUCCUUGUCGGGUAAGUUCCGACCUGCACGAAUGGCGUAACGACUUCCCAGCUGUCUCAACCGCGAACUCGGCGAAAUUGCACUACGAGUAAAGAUGCUCGUUACGCGCAGCAGGACGGAAAGACCCCGUGACCUUUACUACAGCUUUGUAUUGGUGUUCGGUGUGGCUUGUGUAGGAUAGGUGGGAGACUUUGAAGCGGACACGCCAGUGUUUGUGGAGUCAUUGUUGAAAUACCACUCUGGUCACUCUGGAUAUCUAACUUCGAACCGUAAUCCGGUUCAGGGACAGUGCAUGGUGGGUAGUUUAACUGGGGCGGUUGCCUCCCAAAAAGUAACGGAGGCGCCCAAAGGUUCCCUCAGCCUGGUUGGCAAUCAGGUGGCGAGUGUAAGUGCACAAGGGAGCUUGACUGUGAGACUGACAGGUCGAGCAGGGACGAAAGUCGGGACUAGUGAUCCGGCAGUGGCUUGUGGAAGCGCUGUCGCUCAACGGAUAAAAGGUACCUCGGGGAUAACAGGCUGAUCUUGCCCAAGAGUCCAUAUCGACGGCAUGGUUUGGCACCUCGAUGUCGGCUCGUCGCAUCCUGGGGCUGGAGUAGGUCCCAAGGGUUGGGCUGUUCGCCCAUUAAAGCGGUACGCGAGCUGGGUUUAGAACGUCGUGAGACAGUUCGGUCCCUAUCCGCUGCGCGCGUUGGAAAUUUGAGAGGAUCUGACCCUAGUACGAGAGGACCGGGUUGGACGAACCUCUGGUGUGUCAGUUGUCCUGCCAAGGGCACCGCUGAUUAGCUACGUUCGGGAUGGAUAACCGCUGAAAGCAUCUAAGCGGGAAGCCGGCCUCAAGAUGAGAUUUCCAUGCCCUUCGGGGCGAGAGGCUCCCAGUAGACGACUGGGUUGA